rnacentral:tRNA from 1 species
UUUAUGAUUAGUAGAAUAUAUUCAUCGCAGUACAUUUUAAAAUAACUUAGUUUAAUAAACAAUAAAUUGCAAAUUUAUAAAACUUAUUAAGAAAUCAUU